CGUGAUGGCGACCGGCGCACGGGUGAGUAACACGUAUCCAACCUGCCGAUAACUCGGGGAUAGCCUUUCGAAAGAAAGAUUAAUACCCGAUGGCAUAAUUAGACCGCAUGGUCUUAUUAUUAAAGAAUUUCGGUUAUCGAUGGGGAUGCGUUCCAUUAGGCAGUUGGUGAGGUAACGGCUCACCAAACCUUCGAUGGAUAGGGGUUCUGAGAGGAAGGUCCCCCACAUUGGAACUGAGACACGGUCCAA
rnacentral:rRNA from 1 species